UACGUAGGGUGCUAGCGUUGCUCGGAAUUACUGGGCGUAAAGGACGUGUAGGCGGCCUUGCAAGCGGGAUGUGAAAACCCCAGGCUCAACCUGGGAAGUGCAUUCCGAACUGCUUGGCUUGAGUCCGAGAGAGGGCGGUGGAAUUCCCGGUGGAACGGUGAAAUGUGUAGAUAUCGGGAGGAACACCUGCGGCGAAGGCGGCCGCCUGGCUCGGUACUGACGCUAAAGCGUGAAAGCGUGGGUAGCAAAC
rnacentral:rRNA from 1 species